AUGCCAGACCAGAGGUCGACCCAGAUCUGAAACCUCGGAGAUUGCUCACAAGGACUUGACUCCUGCUGGGCUGCCCCUGGGUUGCUUUCUUGGGGUGGUCGCUGGUGACAGCAGAGAGUGCCUGGUUUGGAUUAAUAAAGCCACAAGACACCCAGUUGUCUUUAAGGUUAAGCCCUGGAUCGUUCUCUAGCAUGCAUCGUCUGUUUUGCUGUCUAUGGAGUAGUCAUCGGAACCAGUACUGGUAUUUUACGGCCAGAUAUAUUUUAAGGAGUACAAAAGAGAAGGAGGCCAGGAGUCAGAGAUAGAAAAGUAUUCAUACUAUGUACCUGAGUGAUGCUAUGAAUCGAUAGGUUACCCACCUGUAAAGAAGCAGAAUUAUGAGGCUCUCAACGCGGCGGUUGAAAGAAACUGAAAGGGGACACUUGGCGCCAAGCUACUUAUACAGGUGGGGAGGGGCAUAUUCUAAUGCGUUUAUUGGUACUGCAGAAGCUCUAGAAUCAUCCAAUGAGGCUCCACGCAGGCACAAAUCACCCAGGGUGUGAUUCACAGAGGCCACAAAGAAGAACUUUUAUUACACACUAUACAGCUGAAUUUGUGAAUUAGGUAAAUACUAUACUAUUAGAAGGCCUUCUUCCUGCAACAAACACUCACCAUUGCAUUAUUUCCU